UACGUAGGGACCAAGCGUUGUUCGGAUUUACUGGGCGUAAAGGGCGCGUAGGCGGCUUGCCAAGUCACUUGUGAAAUCUCUGGGCUUAACCCAGAACGGCCAAGUGAAACUGGCAUGCUAGAGUGCAGAAGGGGCAAUCGGAAUUCUUGGUGUAGCGGUGAAAUGCGUAGAUAUCAGGAAGAACACCCGUGGCGAAAGCGGCUCUCUGGAACGGUACUGACGCUGAGACGCGAAAGCGUGGGGAGCGAACAGG
rnacentral:rRNA from 1 species